AUCUCUGUAGAGUCUGCAUAUCAAUAAGCGGAGGAAAAGAAACUAACAAGGAUUCCCCUAGUAACGGCGAGUGAAGCGGGAAGAGCUCAAAUUUGAAAUCUUAAAGGGUUUCCCUUUACGAAUUGUAGUUUAAAGAAGUGUUUUCUGUUGGAGUUUCGGUAAAAGUUCUUUGGAAUAGGACAUCAUAGAGGGUGAGAAUCCCGUAUUUGACCGUUACUUUCCAGCUGUGUGAUACACUUUCAAAGAGUCGGAUUGUUUGGGAAUGCAGUCCAAAAUGGGUGGUAAAUUUCAUCUAAAGCUAAAUAUUGGCGAGAGACCGAUAGCGAACAAGUACCGUGAGGGAAAGAUGAAAAGAACUUUGAAAAGAGAGUUAAACAGUACGUGAAAUUGUCAAAAGGGAAGCGUUUGACACCAGUGUUGUUUAGUUGAAAAUCAAUUCAAUAAUUUUUGAUUUUGAGUAGUAUUGACUUCAUCAGCUUGCUGCUUUCUUUUCAGGAAAUUAUUGAAUGCACUUUUCAGUUAACAAGUCAACAUCAAUUUCUUUUGUUGUAAAAGGGUAAGAGGAAGGUGGCUUACGCUUCGGCGUAAGUGUUUAUAGCCUUUUACCUCUGCAAUCGGAGAGAUUGAGGACAGCAGCGUAGACUCUUCGGGGUUAGAUACACUUGUGCUAAGCUAUAGCCUUGUAUAGACAACUUGUUGACUAUGAUCAGUCAUGUAGCUUACUCGCAGUAUGCUAUUUUACCUACGCUUAGGAUGUUGAAGUCAUCGUAUCGCGC
rnacentral:rRNA from 1 species